rnacentral:lncRNA from 1 species
CUUUACCACACUCAACCUAUGCAACACUCAACCUCUGCAGCAUUAUGUCUCUAUUGACUAUGGGUGAUGAACAUCGAGGAACAAUCGACAAUAUCUCGACAUUUGUAUGUUAUUACUUCUUCUUACUUAUUUCUUAUUUAUGUUUUUAUUGUAUAUUACUUCUUCUUAUUUUAUUUCUUACUUAUGUUUUACUAGGACCCAAAACGAUUUCGAUGUCGU